AGGGCCUUUAAAAUAAAGAUCAAUUGAGAAACUGGCUCACUUGUGGUCUGACCUGACUGAUGUUGAAGUGCAAAUAUUGUUGCGGUGGUUGGAAUCACCAGUGGACUAUGAACGCACAGGCUUAGUUUUGUUUACUUUAUAACUUAACUUGCAAAAACCAGCAGCACUCAGCAAUGCUCGGCGCUGACCAUGCACCGCCAAAGCAAAAGUGAUAUCAGCUUAUACACAAUGAUUAAAAUGUAAUCACUAGUAGGAGGGAUUAAACAACUUCUACAAUAGGAGUUGUUGUGACUAAUGUUAAAUUAUGGAGAUUUUGGUUGCCAAAAAAAUAUGCAAAUAUGCAACUUGUGUGGCAGUAGUUUGGCUUCACCGUUAAGAUAGCUUCUCUGUACGGACAGCGCAGCCAGCCGGCAUUUGGCCACAAUCCUCCAGGGAAAAAAGGCAGUGUGACAGCGGCUAUAGACAGACAGAGAGACAGCUUCUAACAACAUGCUGCUAACUCAGGUCACUGCAGAGAGCGACGGCAUUAGAGUGAGGAGGAGGGUCCUUACUCUAUGUGCAAGAAUACACUGUGGAAGUUGCAAAGGGCAGAGUCUCUAGGAAAUCUACUCUUUCUUUGAAAAAAAUGUCACGGGAGAGAUAGGAGAUUGGCACCACAAAGAGCCCAAAAUAGCACGGGCUGCUACGCGUUGUCAGACGAGAUUUGGGCUGAGACAUUGACUUUUGUUCUGCAAAGUAUUGGCCCCUGAAAGGGAGAUGGGAGGUGUAAAAAUUGUGAUUUCUUCUCUUCCCCUGGUUAUGUGCAAUACAUUACCCUCCUGAUAAUGCAUGCUGCUGGGACUGAGGUUUGUAACGUCACAAUUAUUCCUUGUCUGCAACAAAAGAGGCGUACUUAGGAUUGGAACAGAGUUGGGAAAAGGGUAAAUAUGGACACUAAUUCUUCCAUUUUAGAUGAGUGGAAUGAUAGGUUAUAGAGGUAGUUAUUUAUCAAAGGCAUAGGGCAUUGUCCUGUAGAUUAGGACAGAUCCUUAACUCUUCUGCUUUCCCAUAACUCCAGUACACUCACAUUCAACAUUUCUUCCUUCUGCCUUCCCCAUGAUAACAAAGGUUCAUAUAUUUUAUGCAGGUUUGCCCCUUGGCCACAUAAUAGGAUUAUGAAUAAUUUCUACAAAUUUAUAAAAACAAAUCACAUGGCAUGGCUUAAAGUUUGCUAAUAAUUUCUCCAUAGUUGAUAGAUCAAAGCCAAGGCGCAGGGACUGCAGAGCCAGGCAGUAGAUUGACCCUGGUCAGGCAUUUUUAAUGAAAGGGUUAAUCUCCUCAGAGGUGACUAUUCAGGAGCAAGCAGUGUGACCAAAUGAAGAAUUCAGAUCUGGGAUAAGAAGGAGAAUAGUGGUCUUGAGGGUGCUGUUGGGUGACAGCGAGGAAGCCCUGAGGUAAAACUGUGCAACGCUGUAUUUGAACUCAUCUGACCAGUCCUCAUCCCAAAUCCAUUGCCAAAAGAAAGAGAAAGGUGGUGAAAAAAAGUCAGGCUGUUUGAAGAACCUAUGCAUAUGGCAUGGAGGCCCAAGGCUAUUUCAUGGAUGACCACGAACAAACCUGCUCUGUUGGCUCUAAAACGGCAUGAAAAAAAUCCUUAUACUAGGCACAAAAACACACACAGGCAGGAUGGUGAGUGUAUACUCAUACAUAGAGACCAAUGGAGACGUGCACACACACUCAGACUCACAAACACACAUACACUUUCCCAUUAGGACAACUGCUGUUCAUCUCAAAAAGUACCUGAAUGUGCUUAGAGUCCUGUUGGGGAUAAACUUUGUUGUCAAGCACCUCUUGUGCUACUGUAAGCACACAUGCCCUCUUGUGAGUAAUUAGACUUGAAUACUUUCCAGAAUGAGUGAGGAAGAAAGAGGAUAAAAAAGAGAGAUGUUUUUAUAAAUGUAUAAGCCUUGGCUGGUUAAGGAGGUUUAAAAAAUCUAUAAUGACAGUGGCAAAAUGGGCCUCUUGGUAAUUAGGAACAAAUGAAAUUGCUUAUCACUUAUGGAGUUACUGUGCCAGCCAUUUGGCUGUGUUCAGAGGGAUUAAUCAGACGGCUAUUGACAUUACAUUGUUCCACAAUUAUCAUUCAUACGUUUUAUGGUAAUUGGGCAUUUUUUCACUGAGGAAUUAAGGUGCCUACGUAAUUCCAGACAAAAUGAACAUACACAAACAUUAAUCAGAUCCCUGAAAUAACAUAACAACAUUUCAGCUGCUGAUCAUCACGCAACAAAGUACUGAAAUAAAACAUUAAAAAUGAGGACAUCAGUCUCCUUUGAGAGAAACUGAAAUGCUAUUUUAAUAAUUAAUUUAAAUGAAUGAUAGUUAUUCACAUGAAGUUGAAGAUGUAUUUGUGCCUAAAUGAAUCAGUGAUUAAAGAAACAGCAAGGUUUAUACAGCAUUGUCUAAAUGGUUGUAAACAGGAAAUAUGACGUGUGAAACUGAUUUAUUACAUAUUUCACUCUAGGUAUUGCUAUAAAAGUAACAGUUCAAUCAAGGUGUCUUCAUAAGCCUGGUUGCUGUGUUGCAUAAAGCGUUCUUAUUAGGACAACAACAAACCACAAUGUGACAUCAACCUCAUAAAACCAAUAAAAAACACUUUGAAUGCAGUCAGAAUGCAGACAUGCAACUCCUCCCCUGUGCUCUCUUUUCAGUACCUUCCCAACAGCAUCUGCAUGUGAAAAUUUCUUGUCAUUGUCCUAAUGGUUUGGGGAGGGGGUUGAUAAAGGAAGACUUUGCCUAAUGCUUCCAUAAACGUGUUAGGCAAAGUCCAGCAGGAUGUAAUCGCAUCUAAUAUGUUUACAGAGGAUUGAUUUCCCUCCUACGACCCACCCACCAGUCAGCAACAAGCUGUGGUCAGUUCACCCAGGUCACUGUGGACGAAUUCUCUGUCCACUCUGUCCUCUUUACACCAAGCAACAAGGCCGAGCCACAGAGACCAUGGAAAGUAUUGGAGUGCAGCUUAAUGAGGUAAUUAGUCAAGGCCAUGACGAUCCUUGGAGGCUAAUACCUGUGACCUCUUGAUCUUGGAUUCCUAACACGCGUCUCCGGAGACGAUACAGGAAAGACUGCGGAAAAAUCCAAACACUGUCGCCUCGGCCAGACACUCCAGCCAAUUCUUACCAAGAAUGUGUGAUAUUACACUUCAAGAAAGGAGACUUUGGGAUUCAAGCUGAGGAACCCCACAUUUGUCUAUUUUUUUUUUUUUUUGUUUAAUUACUCCCACUAUACAGUAAUGGGCCUGCCCCCUUUCCUUCCCUGAAGAAAAAUAAACCUUAGCAAACUUAAACUACUUCACCUGUUUACUUAGAGAAAGAAGUUCUGGAGAAUUGACAAAGGCAGUGAAAAAGCACAAGAAAGGGAAAAGGAUGAAGAAAACAAAGCAGGUUGAUAUUUUUCCCCCUCUCCUAUCCCUUUCUUUUCUUUUUAUCAGGUUACGUGACUGGAGGCUUCAUUAAUCACCACCUCGACAGCCUCUGCCAGGGGGAACUAACUGCAUUUGGCCCAAUUAGGCGCUGUAGAGACAAUAGGAACAGCACAAGUUGUGCCUCUAUGCCAGGAGCCAAGCGUUGCCUCCCUGUCAUUACCUACAGAAAGGGAAAAAUUAACCCCUACCAGCUUCCCUGCUUUCCUCCAUUGAUCCGAGGCUUUUGUGGUGUCCCUGGAGCGUGGCAGACAAUUACAGAUAUUAUUACAUCUGCAUUGAUUUUUUUUAAAGAGAGCAGAGUGUCUCCAAGCAAUUAAAAAAAUUACAGUUCGGAAGUUGGCCAAUUAAAAUGCCCCCGGCCUUGGAGGGUGGCAGCAGUGUUGGUGGGAUGGGGGGGGGACUUGACUGUCAGAAUGUUGCAGGUUUUUUUUUUAGAAACAUUCUAAAAAUUCACACAUUUGCAUUGCAUUCAAAAACCUAUUCUUAGUUAGGCUAGUUUAUCUCAUUGGCCUGCAUUGUCUAUCGAGGUUAUCAUUAGCCCAAAGAUAGCUUUGUCAACAUUGUCAAGACUUCCUUAUGUAAGUUGUCAUGUCAGUGUCUUAUUACAUUUUUUUUUUCAGUUUAGUAACUAAUGAUUUUUUACAGCAGUAAUAUAGGUUAGUGGCUGUAUUUCCUGACUUUAACUGACUUUAUCCUUUGGUUGUAUCAGUGUGUCUUCACACAGCUGCCUCAUAAAUAUUCAUCUGAAGCCUUUUCUGAUUCAUGCUUUUAAAGUAUCAUACCUUUGGCAAUGAGCUCCUCUGUCAUCUUUUAUCUGUCUGACCAAACCCACGAAACUCAUGCUACUUUCUCACCCUUAGAUUCAUUAUGUUUCUACAUCUGUCUCUUGCUCUUUUUGUUUCUUUCAAUUUCUCUCUCCCUUAUUCUGUCACACACA